rnacentral:rRNA from 1 species
GACGUAGGGUGCGAGCGUUGUCCGGAUUUAUUGGGCGUAAAGAGCUCGUAGGCGGCUCGUCGCGUCGACCGUGAAACCCGCGGCUUAACUGCGGGCUUGCGGUUGAUACGGCGGGCUAGAGUUCGGUAGGGAGACUGGAAUUCCUGGUGUAGCGGUGAAAUGCGCAGAUAUCAGGAGGAACACCAAUUGCGAAGGCAGCUCGCUGGACGUCACUGACGCUGAGACGCGAAGCGUGGGAGCAAACAGG